rnacentral:rRNA from 1 species
UGGGGAAUUUUGGACAAUGGGCGAAAGCCUGAUCCAGCAAUGCCGCGUGUGUGAAGAAGGCCUUCGGGUUGUAAAGCACUUUUGUCCGGAAAGAAAUCCUUGGCUCUAAUACAGUCGGGGGAUGACGGUACCGGAAGAAUAAGCACCGGCUAACUACGUGCCAGCAGCCGCGGUAAUACGUAGGGUGCAAGCGUUAAUCGGAAUUACUGGGCGUAAAGCGUGCGCAGGCGGUUUGCUAAGACCGAUGUGAAAUCCCCGGGCUCAACCUGGGAACUGCAUUGGUGACUGGCAGGCUAGAGUAUGGCAGAGGGGGGUAGAAUUCCACGUGUAGCAGUGAAAUGCGUAGAGAUGUGGAGGAAUACCGAUGGCGAAGGCAGCCCCCUGGGCCAAAUACUGACGCUCAUGCACGAAAGCGUGGGGGAGCAAACAGGAUUAGAUACCCUGGUAGUCCACGCCCUAAACGAUGUCAACUAGUUGUUGGGGAUUCAUUUCCUUAGUAACGUAGCUAACGCGUGAAGUUGACCGCCUGGGGAGUACGGUCGCAAGAUUAAAACUCAAAGGAAUUGACGGGGUCAUAGCUG